rnacentral:rRNA from 1 species
UACAGAGGUGGCAAGCGUUGUUCGGAAUUACUGGGCGUAGAGGGCGCGUAGGCGGCUUGGUCAGUCCCGUGUGAAAUCCCUCGGCUCAACUGAGGAACUGCACGGGAAACUGCCUGGCUUGAGUUCGGGAGAGGGAAGCGGAAUUCCGGGUGUAGCGGUGAAAUGCGUAGAUAUCCGGAGGAACACCGGUGGCGAAGGCGGCUUCCUGGACCGACACUGACGCUGAGGAGCGAAAGCGUGGGGAGCGAUCCGG